rnacentral:rRNA from 1 species
UACGUAGGGGGCUAGCGUUGUCCGGAAUCAUUGGGCGUAAAGCGCGUGUAGGCGGUCCGGUAAGUCCGCUGUGAAAGUCGGGGGCUCAACCCUCGGAUGCCGGUGGAUACUGUCGGGCUGGAGUACGGAAGAGGCGAGUGGAAUUCCUGGUGUAGCGGUGAAAUGCGCAGAUAUCAGGAGGAACACCAAGGGCGAAGGCAGCUCGUGGGGACGUUACUGACGCUGAGACGCGAAAGCGUGGGGAGCAAACAGG